rnacentral:rRNA from 1 species
UACAGAGGUGGCAAGCGUUGUUCGGAAUUAUUGGCGUAAAGGGCGCGUAGGCGGUGCGGUAAGUCCGCAGUGAAAAUCGUCUGGGCUCCAACUCAGAGUCUGCUGUGGAAACUGCCGUGCUAGAGUGUGGGAGAGGUGAGUGGAAUUCCCGGUGUAAGCGGUGAAAUGCGUAGAUAUGAGGAGGAACACCAGAUGAGCGAG